GAGGGUCUAGCUCAACUGGUAGAGCGUCGGUCUCCAAAACCGAAGGUUACAGGUUCGAGUCCUGUGGCUCUUG
rnacentral:tRNA from 1 species